CAGCCGAUGGAUCUGCACUCCCUGACAGGCUGUUUUAACGGCCACGAUCCUGCUCCACUUCUUGUGGCGGAUUUCGUGCAGCUCCAUCACUCCCUGACAGGCCGCAGUAACCGUCGCAGCUCUGCUCCACUUCCUGUGGCGGAUUCCGCACAGCUCCACUACCCCCUGGCAGGCCACAAUAACGGCCACAAUCCUGCUCCACCUCCUACGACGGAUACCGGG
rnacentral:lncRNA from 1 species